CUCAUAUUUUUACUCUCCAUCCAUUGGUCAUCUAAGCAAACAUGAAACACAAGCAAGAUCGGAGAGAACAAUUGAGGUUGAAGAAGGUGCAAAGACAGAGCUUCCAUUUUGGCUUGCUCAGGAGUUAUAUUUUAGGCAAGCCUGUAUCAAUAAAUGUUCCAGCUUGUUUCAACCGAAAAUGCAGGGAUCUUCUCUUGAUAUGUUCAUGAUCAUCGGAGAAGUUUCUUCAAAGGCAGUCAUUGAGGCAAAGAUGUCACAGAGUAAACCCUUGUUAAAUUAUUUGAGUAUCUGGUUGGAGGAGAUGUACUUGGAAGCUCGACUUUUCAGUAUACAGAUAUUCUUGUGGCUGUUACAGUUCGGGAAAGCUCUUUCUUUGUGAAGUUAAUAACUACACAUAUUCAGUUCCAAAUACCAUUGCACUACUAAUUCUCAGAUUCCUUGCCUCCGUGGAUGAGAUCUCUGCAUCAACAAGCAGGCUUGGAUUAUGGAUUGAAACAUUUGUUUUUUAAAUUUUCGAAGGAACAUUGAUAAAAUGAUUUUUUUAUGUAACUGGGGGUCUGGUUUAUGUUUUUAAACGUCAUUCAAUGAUACUACUGAAUAAUAAACUGAAAGAAACAAAUUGUUUCUUGAGAUA